rnacentral:rRNA from 1 species
AGGACGAACGCUGGCGGCGUGCUUAACACAUGCAAGUCGAACGGAAAGGCCCGCUUGCGGGUACUCGAGUGGCGAACGGGUGAGUAACACGUGGGCAACCUGCCCUCAGCUUCGGGAUAACAUUUGGAAACAGGUGCUAAUACCGGAUAAUAACCUUUCAUCGCAUGGUGUGGGGUUCAAAGUUUUUCGGCUGGGGAUGGGCCCGCGGCCUAUCAGCUUGUUGGUGGGGUAAUGGCCUACCAAGGCGACGACGGGUAGCCGGCCUGAGAGGGCGACCGGCCACACUGGGACUGAGACACGGCCCAGACUCCUACGGGAGGCAGCAGUGGGGAAUAUUGCGCAAUGGGCGGAAGCCUGACGCAGCGACGCCGCGUGAGGGAUGACGGCCUUCGGGUUGUAAACCGCUUUGUCAGGGAAGAAACGCUCCGGGCUAAUACCUUGGAGUAAUGACGGUACCUGAAGAAUAAGCACCGGCUAACUACGUGCCAGCAGCCGCGGUAA